ensembl:lncRNA
CAGACACAAGAGGGACUGGGUGGUUGGGAUGAGACAUACAUUAAACAUACACAGCAGAAGGUCAAGCCCUGCCCGAAGUUAGAGGUCAGGGGUUAAAGGUCAUGUCCUGUUGACCCUGCGUGUGAGAUAAGCAGGCGAAGCUGGGAGCAGUGAGCCCCUGGUGGACGGACCUGGCUGUGGACCACGGUUGUUAUUGGCAGCUUGUCAGGCUGAGCAGAGCUGGACAGCAGGAGUGUUCUAUUAAAAGGAUCAUGAACACAUUCCACGCUGCGCAUUGGUCCUCCGAUCCUUCCUACUACUCUUCGUCAGAGGAGGAAGAAGACCGUUACAAACACUCGUCCACGGGCCGCUAGGUCUAUAGAAAUGUGUCUGUUUGAUGAACUGUUUACAGCACAAUCUGGACUAUUGUUCUUUUAAAAACGUAUAUGCUGUCACUGUACUGUGACGAAUCAGCCAUUCCAGCCCUGGUUGAGAGGUGUGCAGCCGUACAUAUAUCAGGAGUAAUAUCUAUACACUACUUCCUGAUUGUAAAAAGGCCAUGCUAUAGAUGUUCCCAUAUCUCUACACUACUUCCUGGUUGUAAAGAAGCCAUGCUAUAGAUGUUCCCAUAUCUCUACACUACUUCCUGGUUGUAAAGAAGCCAUGCUAUAGAUGUUCCCAUAUCUAUUCACUACUUCCUGGUUGUAAAGAAGCCAUGCUAUAGAUGUUCCCUUAUCUCUACACUACUUCCUGGUUGUAAAGAAGCCAUGCUAUAGAUGUUCCCUUAUCUCUACACUACUUCCUGGUUGUAAAGAAGCCAUGCUAUAGAUGUUCCCAUAUCUCUUCACUACUUCCUGAUUGUAAAGAGGCCAUGCUAUAGACGUUCCCAUAUCUCUACACUACUUCCUGAUUGUAAAGAGGCCAUGCUAUAGAUGUUCCCAUAUCUCUACACUACUUCCUGGUUGUAAAGAAGCCAUGCUAUAGAUGUUCCCAUAUCUAUUCACUACUUCCUGGUUGUAAAGAAGCCAUGCUAUAGAUGUUCCCUUAUCUCUACACUACUUCCUGGUUGUAA